rnacentral:tRNA from 2 species
AGUAAUCUAGGUUAUUUUGUACUGUUUGUUUUCAAAACAAAAGGAGAGCGUUGGUUCGAUUACUG